GUCUUAUUGAUUUUAAUUUUAAGUCUAAUCUGCUCAAUGAAAAUAUUUUAAAUAGCUGCAGUAUUUUAACUGUACAAAGGUAGCAUAAUAAUUUGUUUCCUAAUUAGAAAAUAGAAUGAAAGAUAAAAUGAAUAAUUUACUUUAUUAAAAUUAAAAAUUUAAUUUUUUUAUAAUUUAAAAAAAUUAUAUAAUUUAAAUAGACAAUAAGACCCUAUAAAAUUUUAUUAUUUAAUAAAUAAAUUAAUAAUUAAUUAAAUAAUUUUAUUGGGGAAAUAAAGAUAUUAAUUAAACUACUUUAAUUAUUAACAUUAAUAUAUGAAAUAUUUUAAAUUAAAUUAACUAUAUAAAUAAAUUACUUUAGGGAKAACAGGAUAAUUUUUUUAAAAAGUACAUAUUUAUAAAAAAAAUUAU
rnacentral:rRNA from 1 species